AAACGAUUCACAAGAUCCCGAUUUUCCUAAUAGUAGUCAUGGUCCUCUUCAUGAAUAUGUUGAAAACAUGAGGAAGCUUGCACAUCAUAUCAAGGGAUAACUGAGGUAGAUCAAAUGAUGUCGGUUGAAAAUACGCAGAAGUAAGUGUUAAAUUAGGCCAAGAAUUAGGCGUUCCAGUUAUCAAUUUCUUCUAAACCCUUUACGAAAAACCUGGUGUCUUUUGGGAUGGAAUGCAUUUAACGGCAGAAGAAAGUAAGAUUUUGUUUGAUAAAAUCAAAGAUGUAAUAAAAAAGGUUGAUUGGGAGCCAACCCUAGAUUGGGACAAAAUGCCAACUGAGUAUGCUGAUAUUGGUACUGAUAUACUCCUUGAGAUGAUGAUCAAGGAAACUGAGGAUGAAACUGUUGGGAUUACUGAUAGUGAAUUUCAAGAACUUAAACCCCAAUAGAUUAUCUUGGAUGCAUAAUAAAAUAAGAAUAUAUAAGAAUAAUAAGACCAAGUACUAUUGCUAGUCAUCAAUCCCCAGUUUCCUCUUUGUUAUGUCCUAAUAAAAAUAUGCAAGAAUAAUAAGACUAUGGACUAGUCAAUUUCUAAUUUUCCUGUUUGGUGUGUCCUAAUAAACUCUUUUGCAAAAGAGUACUAUAAAUAUUCCUAGGAAGGUUUUGCCCCUUUUUAGGAAUUAGGGUUUUCUAUGUUGUAGAAGGUUUUGAGUGUGUAGGUAAUAAUGUAUUAUGCAUAGGUAAAGUUAUAAAUGUUUGAAUGGAAUAAUGAUUGUGAUAUUCGUCAAUUGUUCGCUGAAACUAGAAUUAAAUCACUAUAAAAAAUUUG